AUCUGGGAUGCUGCUCCUUUGCAGAUGCAGGUUUUUGGAAAAAAAAAGUUGUUGUUUUUUUCCAUAAUUAGGUCACUGUUAAAAACAAAAAGUAACAGAUUGUCACUGGAUGAAAAUCCAAAUGAUACCCUUCCUAAUGUUGGUCCAUAAAUCAAUUUGACGGAUACAUUUGAACUGAUUGUUUAAUGAAGAUUUAUUUUGGGGAAAAUUGGGAUUCAAGGGAGAUGUUAUCAUUUUUGAGAAAAUACAUUCCGUGAAUUUUCUUAAAGAAAGUAAAAGGAGGGAGAAAAAGUCGAUUGAAAUCAGAAAUUGAAUGUGGUGUGGAAAAAAUCAGAGAUUUAAUUUUUUUAACUAUCAGUAGGCAGCCACCUCUGUGGUUUGACUGCAGCGACCCGCGUUUUCUGCCUUCAUUCCGUGGAAAUCGGUAACACCGGAAGCCUGAAUUUGGAGUUUUCCUGUUGUGACGACCAACAGUAUCACAGGAUGAGAUUGGUGGCUAUUUCUCUGCAUCCAAAGUUGCUGAUUUUGCCCGUUAGAUGUAUCCAAACAAUGUGUGCUUGACGCCCAAAAUGGCAAACAAUGGCGUGACGUCACUGCAAAGGGGUCUAUUGGUGUCUCUAGAUUUGUCCCAAACUUGUGUUUUUUGUGGUGAAGACAACCAGAUCCACAAAAAACAAACUAAAUGUUCAGAUUGUGAGAAUUCUCAAUUCUCUUCUGUGUGAAUGCUGCAGUUUCCUCCUUUUCCUAAACACCUGCAGGUCAAAUCCUCUGCUUCUUCAUCCUCAUCUCCUGCUCCCCCUGCCGCUCCUCUGCCUGCCCCUGAGACCUUUCCUGCGGUCCACCCCGUCCCUGACCCCGCCGCCCAAGCUGCUUUUUCUCUCAUUGCCCCUGCAGAUAAAGGCAGAGCUCAGCCCUCCUCCUCCUCCUCCAGGAAAAAGUCCUCCUUUCACGCUGCCACUGUUUGUUCGCCCAGCACUGACGAGGCUCUGAAGAUCUCUGCUGACUCAGACCUCCAGAGAACAAAUGAGCAGGAGGAGGUUCAGAGCGCCCCCUGGGGGGGUUCAGACCACAGGAACUUAGGCGAAAAUGACCGCAUGAAGGUAACAUUGUUCCUUUGCUGGUCUGUUUUGGUGUAACUUGUGUGGAACGUGCUGAAGAUGCGUCAGAUGCAUCUCAACAUGUUCCCUACGUGAUGAAGAACGCUGCUCCGUCCAGCUUAAGUCAGAAACGGGACCCGUUCAUCAUCUUCUGCUCCAAAUUCUGUCAGUGGGAGAAUCUGGAUCUCCACUCAUUUACCCCCGUCUCCUUAGGUGCUGCUGCGUUCACUCAAACCCGUUUUGAAGUCUGAUCUGCCAAAUCUGAACCGCCGUUUGGUCCAAAGACCGUAUGUUUUGGUUUUUGACUUGAGUAGAUAAUGAUGAAGAGCGGCACCUCUUCCUCAUGGGAGGUGCAUUUGUUUUCUU
rnacentral:lncRNA from 1 species